rnacentral:rRNA from 1 species
GAGGCCACUGCUAUCGGAGUUCGAUUAAGCCAUGCGAGUCGAGAGGUGCAAGACCUCGGCAUACUGCUCAGUAACACGUGGACAAUCUAACCUAUGGAAGGGGAUAACCCCGGGAAACUGGGGAUAAUACCCUAUAGACUAUGGAUGCUGGAAUGCUUUGUAGUCGAAAGGUCAGCCGCCAUAGGAUGGGUCUGCGGCCGAUUAGGUUGUUGUUGGGGUAACGGCCCAACAAGCCUGUAAUCGGUACGGGUUGUGGGAGCAAGAGCCCGGAGAUGGAUUCUGAGACACGAAUCCAGGCCCUACGGGGCGCAGCAGGCGCGAAAACUUUGCAAUGCGGGAAACCGUGACAGGGGAACUCCGAGUGCCCGUAAAAUCGGGCUGUCCAUCAGUUUAAAUAACUGGUGAAGAAAGGGCCGGGCAAGACCGGUGCCAGCCGCCGCGGUAAUACCGGCGGCUCGAGUGGUGGCCACUAUUACUGGGCUUAAAGCGUUCGUAGCUGGUUUGUUAAGUCUCUGGGGAAAUCUUCCGGCUCAACCGGAAGGCGUCUCAGGGAUACUGGCAGACUAGGGACCGGGAGAGGUGAGGGGUACUCCAGGGGUAGGAGUGAAAUCCUGUAAUCCUUGGGGGACCACCUGUGGCGAAGGCGCCUCACCAGAACGGCUCCGACAGUGAGGGACGAAAGCUGGGGGAGCAAACCGGAUUAGAUACCCGGGUAGUCCCAGCUGUAAACGAUGCGCGUUAGGUGUAUCGGUGACCACGAGUUACCGAGGUGCCGAAGAGAAAUCGUGAAACGUGCCGCCUGGGAAGUACGGUCGCAAGGCUGAAACUUAAAGGAAUUGGCGGGGGAGCACCACAACAGGUGGAGCCUGCGGUUU